AGUGGGUGUGUUGGUAUGCACCCGUAAUUCCAGCUACUCAGGAGGCUGAGAUGGGAGGAUCAUUUGAGCUCAGAGAUUAGAGAUAAGCCUGGACAAUAUAGAGAGAUCCUGUCUCAA
rnacentral:sRNA from 1 species